rnacentral:rRNA from 1 species
AUUGAACGCUGGCGGCAGGCUUAACACAUGCAAGUCGAACGAGUGGCGGACGGGUGAGUAAUGCUUGGGAAUCUGGCUUAUGGAGGGGGAUAACGACGGGAAACUGUCGCUAAUCCCGCGUACCAUAGGAUGAGCCCAAGUGGGAUUAGGUUGUUGGUGGGGUAAUGGCCUACAAACCCGACGAUCUCUAGCUGGUCUGCGAGGAUGACCAGCCACAUCGGGACUGGAACACGGCCCGUACUCCUAAGGGAGGGAGCAGUGGGGAUUAUUGCGCAAUGGGGGCAACCUGACGCAGCAAUGCCGCGUGAAUGAAGAAGGCCUUCGGGUUGUAAAGUUCUUUCGGUGACGAGGCGUUAAUCACAGAAGAAGCACCGGCUAACUCCGUGCCAGCCGACGCGGUAAUUC